rnacentral:rRNA from 1 species
GAUGAACGCUGGCGGCGUGCUUAACACAUGCAAGUCGAACGGAAAGGCCCUGCUUUUGUGGGGUGCUCGAGUGGCGAACGGGUGAGUAACACGUGAGUAACCUGCCCUUGACUUUGGGAUAACUUCAGGAAACUGCGGCUAAUACCGGAUAGGAUCUCCUGCUGCAUGGUGUGGGUUGGAAAGUUUCGGCGGUUGGGGAUGGACUCGCGGCUUAUCAGCUUGUUGGGGGGGUAGUUGCUUACGAAGCCUUUGACGGGUAGCCGGCCUGAGAGGGUGACCGGCCACAUUGGGACUAAGAGAGGGACCAGAAUCCUACGGGAGGCAGUAGGGGGGAAUAUGGCACAAUGGGCGGAAGCCUGAUGCAGCAACGCCGCGUGCGGGAUGACGGCCUUCGGGUUGUAAACCGCUUUGGACUGUGACGAAGCGUGAGUGACGGUAAUGGGUAAAGAAGCACCGGCUAACUACGUG